rnacentral:rRNA from 1 species
UACGUAGGGUGCAAGCGUUGUCCGGAUUUAUUGGGCGUAAAGAGCGUGUAGGCGGCCUGAAAGGUCAGCUGUGAAAACUCGAGGCUCAACCUCGAGACGUCGGUUGAAACCAUCUGGCUAGAGUCCGGAAGAGGAGUGUGGAAUUCCCGGUGUAGCGGUGAAAUGCGCAGAUAUCGGGAAGAACACCCGUGGCGAAGGCGGCACUCUGGGACGGUACUGACGCUGAGACGCGAAAGCAUGGGGAGCGAACAGG